AGCGGAGGAAAAGAAACUAACAAGGAUUCCCCUAGUAACUGCGAGUGAAGCGGGAAAAGCUCAAAUUUAAAAUCUGGCGGUUUCGGCCGUCCGAGUUGUAAUCUGGAGAAGCGUUUUCCGCGUUGGACCGUGUACAAGUUUCCUGGAACGGAGCGUCAUAGAGGGUGAGAAUCCCGUCUUUGACACGGACCCCAAUGCUUUGUGAUACGCUCUCAAAGAGUCGAGUUGUUUGGGAAUGCAGCUCAAAAUGGGUGGUGAAUUCCAUCUAAAGCUAAAUAUUGGCGAGAGACCGAUAGCGAACAAGUACCGUGAGGGAAAGAUGAAAAGCACUUUGGAAAGAGAGUUAAACAGUACGUGAAAUUGUUGAAAGGGAAACGCUUGAAGUCAGUCGCGUUGGCCGGGACUCAGCCUUGCAUCCGCUUGGUGUACUUUCCGGUCGACGGGCCAGCAUCAAUUUUGACCGCGGGAUAAAGUCUGGAGGAAGGUGGCUCUUCGGAGUGUUAUAGCCUCCGGUCACAUGCCGCGGUUGGGAUUGAGGAAUUCAGCACGCCUUUUAUUAGGUUCGGGGUUCGCCCACGUUCGUGCUUAGGAUGCUGGCGUAAUGGCUUUAAACGACCCGUCUUGAAACACGGACCAAGGAGUCUAACAUGCCUGCGAGUGUUCGGGUGGAAAACCCGUGCGCGUAAUGAAAGUGAAAGUUGGGAUCCCUGUCGUGGGGUGCACCGACGCCCGGACCAGAACUUCUGUGACGGAUCUGCGGUAGAGCAUGUAUGUUGGGACCCGAAAGAUGGUGAACUAUGCCUGAAUAGGGUGAAGCCAGAGGAAACUCUGGUGGAGGCUCGUAGCGAUUCUGACGUGCAAAUCGAUCGUCAAAUUUGGGUAUAGGGGCGAAAGACUAAUCGAACCAUCUAGUAGCUGGUU
rnacentral:rRNA from 1 species